rnacentral:rRNA from 1 species
AACGAACGCUGGCGGCAUGCCUAACACAUGCAAGUCGAACGAAGCCUUCGGGCUUAGUGGCGCACGGGGUGCGUAACACGUGGGAAUCUGCCCUUCGGUUCGGAAUAACAGUUAGAAAUGACUGCUAAUACCGGAUGAUGACGUAAGUCCAAAGAUUUAUCGCCGAAGGAUGAGCCCGCGUAGGAUUAGGUAGUUGGUAGGGUAAUGGCCUACCAAGCCGACGAUCCUUAGCUGGUCUGAGAGGAUGAUCAGCCACACUGGGACUGAGACACGGCCCAGACUCCUACGGAGGCAGCAGUGGGAAUAUUGGACAAUGGCGAAAGCCUGAUCCAGCAAUGCCGCGUGAGUGAUGAAGGUCC